rnacentral:rRNA from 1 species
UUAAGUCUUGACGAGUAAGAGGGUCGCGGCGGUGAGCGCAGAAGGGUCAGGGCGAGAGCCUGCCUGGAGCCGCCGUCGGUGCAGAUCUUGGUGGUAGUAGCAAAUACUCUAGCGAGGGCCUGGAGGACUGACGUGGAGAAGGGUUUCUUGUGAACAGCCGUUGCACAAGAGUCAGUCGACCCUGAGCCCUAGGAGAAAUCCAAUGUCGAUGGGUAGCUUGACAAAAAUAUGUUUUGUUGUUACAAACAGCACAAACAAUUGUUGAAAACAGCUCCUGUCGGGCAAAAGGGAAUCCGGUUCCUAUUCCGGAACCCGGCUGCGUAACCGCCACUUUGCGGGCACUUGCUUGCGAGCGCUCGUCGGGGUAACCCAAACUGGCCUGGAGACGCCGGCGGGGGGUCUGGAAAGAGUUUUCUUUUCUUUAUAAGCGUUCGAGUACCCUGGAAUCCUAUAGCAGGGAGAUAGGGUUUGGAACGCGAAGAGCACCGCAGUUGCGGCGGUGUCCGGACCUUCCCCCCGGACCUUGAAAAUCCAGGUGAGGGCCACGCGGAAGUCGCGCCGG